AGAGUUUGAUUAUGGCUCAGGACGAACGCUGGCGGCGUGCUUAAUGAAUGCGAGUCGAACGAGAACCAGUGGAGUGCUUGCACAAAGCUGGGGACAGUGGCGAACGGGUGAGUAACACGUGGGUAACCUGCCCUGUAGUCGGGCACAACAGUUGGAAACGACUGCUAAUUCCCGAUAGUCUGCAGUAGCGUUGGCUACUGUAGUAAAGGUUUUUCCGCUACAGGAUGGGCCCGCGGGCCAUUAGCUUGUUGGUGGGGUAACGGCCUACCAAGACUGCGAUCAGUAGCCGGACUGAGAGGUUGAACGGCCACAUUGGGACUGAGAUACGGCCCAGACUCCUACGGGAGGCAGCAGUGGGGAAUAUUGGGCAAUGGGCGCCAAGCCUGACCCAGCAACGCCGCGUGAAGGAAGAAGGCCUUCGGGUUGUAAACUUCUUUUAUGAGGGACGAAGGACGUGACGGUACCUCAUGAAUAAGCCACGGCUAACUACGUGCCAGCCGCCGC
rnacentral:rRNA from 1 species